rnacentral:rRNA from 1 species
UGGCGGCGUGGUUAAGACAUGCAAGUCGCACGGUAUCAGUUAUGUAGCAAUACUUGACUGGUUCAGUGGCGCACGGGUGAGUAACACGUGAAUUACAUGCCCUUUAGAGGGGGAUAGCCCAGGGAAACUUGGAUUAAUACCCCAUGGUCUCGCAAGAGUAAAGGUGGCCGCAAGGCUGUCGCUAAAGGAUUGGUUCGCGCCCUAUCAGCUUGUUGGCGGGGUAACGGCCCACCAAGGCUACGACGGGUACCUGGUCUGAGAGGACGAUCAGGCACACUGGAACUGAGACACGGUCCAGACACCUACGGGUGGCAGCAGUCGAGAAUAAUUCACAAUGGGGGCAACCCUGAUGGUGCAACGCCGCGUGGAGGAUGACGGUCUUCGGAUUGUAAACUCCUGUCAUCCGGGAGUAAGACCUGGCUGUGAAUAGCAGACAGGGUUGAUAGUACCGGAAGAGGAAGGGACGGCUAACUUCGUGCCAGCAGCCGCGGUAAUACGAAGGUCCCGAGCGUUGUUCGGAAUCACUGGGCGUAAAGGGAGCGUAGGCGGCGCGGUAAGUCAGAUGUGAAAUCCCGGGGCUCAACCCCGGAACUGCAUCCGAUACUGCCGUGCUAGAGGAUUGGAGAGGUAGCUGGAAUUCUUGGUGUAGCAGUGAAAUGCGUGGAUAUCAAGAGGAACACUCGUGGCGAAAGCGAGCUACUGGACAACUCCUGACGCUGAGGCUCGAAGGCCAGGGUAGCGAAAGGGAUUAGAUACCCCUGUAGUCCUGGNAGUAAACGGUGCACGCUUGGUGUGAGGGGAAUCGACCCCCCUUGUGCCGGANCUAACGCGUUAAGCGUGCCGCCUGGGAAGUACGGUCGCAAGACUAAAACUCAAGAAAUUGACGGGGACCCGCACAAGCGGUGGNNUAUGU